AGUUAACUGAACCUUCGGGGGACGUUAACGGGCGUCGAGCGGCGGACGGGUGAGUAAUGCCUAGGAAAUUGCCCUGAUGUGGGGGAUAACCAUUGGAAACGAUGGCUAAUACCGCAUGAUGCCUACGGGCCAAAGAGGGGGACCUUCGGGCCUCUCGCGUCAGGAUAUGCCUAGGUGGGAUUAGCUAGUUGGUGAGGUAAGGGCUCACCAAGGCGACGAUCCCUAGCUGGUCUGAGAGGAUGAUCAGCCACACUGGAACUGAGACACGGUCCAGACUCCUACGGGAGGCAGCAGUGGGGAAUAUUGCACAAUGGGCGCAAGCCUGAUGCAGCCAUGCCGCGUGUGUGAAGAAGGCCUUCGGGUUGUAAAGCACUUUCAGUCGUGAGGAAGGUAGUGUAGUUAAUAGCUGCAUUAUUUGACGUUAGCGACAGAAGAAGCACCGGCUAACUCCGUGCCAGCAGCCGCGGUAAUACGGAGGGUGCGAGCGUUAAUCGGAAUUACUGGGCGUAAAGCGCAUGCAGGUGGUUUGUUAAGUCAGAUGUGAAAGCCCGGGGCUCAACCUCGGAAUAGCAUUUGAAACUGGCAGACUAGAGUACUGUAGAGGGGGGUAGAAUUUCAGGUGUAGCGGUGAAAUGCGUAGAGAUCUGAAGGAAUACCGGUGGCGAAGGCGGCCCCCUGGACAGAUACUGACACUCAGAUGCGAAAGCGUGGGGAGCAAACAGGAUUAGAUACCCUGGUAGUCCACGCCGUAAACGAUGUCUACUUGGAGGUUGUGGCCUUGAGCCGUGGCUUUCGGAGCUAACGCGUUAAGUAGACCGCCUGGGGAGUACGGUCGCAAGAUUAAAACUCAAAUGAAUUGACGGGGGCCCGCACAAGCGGUGGAGCAUGUGGUUUAAUUCGAUGCAACGCGAAGAACCUUACCUACUCUUGACAUCCAGAGAACUUUCCAGAGAUGGAAUUGGUGCCCUUCGGGAACUCUGAGACAGGUGCUGCAUGGCUG
rnacentral:rRNA from 1 species